UGUAGAAUAGUGGGUUGCACACUUCUUGCACACAGCAGGCUUUCAAAAAAGUCAGCAAAAAAUGGGGGGCCUGUGCCCCAGUAAAGCUUUAUGUCUAUCGACAGAGAAAUGAAGAAAGCUUGUGUUUCAUCACAAAAAUUUUGUCAUGUUUUGUCAGGAUUGUCGCAUGCAUUCGAAAGAAAAAAGAAUCAUUGUUGCAUUCAGUGGCACUCAAAAUUUCUUUUAUUUUCACCGGGAAAAAUUUGGCUAGGGGAAAUACUGAUUGGCUGGUAACUUUAAAAAGUUACCAGCCACUUUGGCUGGUGGUCAAAAAAGUUAAUUUAGAACCCUGGUAGCGAAUAUGAAAAAUGUACAAUAAAAUCAUAAAAAAAUCAUUAAAAAAAUCAUUACAUAGUUUCACCAUAGACUUGCCUAAGACAUACAUACCACAUAAUAUUACAAUUACCAUAUAGUUGUAAAAUACUCAAGAGUAUAAAUAAAAAAAAUCCAUAUUCUUCCCCCAUUACCCCAAAAUUAACAUAUGCUACCUUAUACCUUCAAGUGUAAAGGUACUCUGUUGUUACAAAUAGCUGUAAUUCUAUUUAAUUAAGCAGUACAUUGUGGGUCGUAAUAUAAAGCGUUACCAAACUGUUAAUGUUGUUUACAUUGCAUGUCCUUCUCACAUGGGGUAUUUAUAGACCUUCACCUCUGAGCAAUGCACGACCCCUGGGAUUAACUCCUCACAAGCGUUCCACUUGUGGUUCACAGCCAAGUGUGACACAACGAGUUGAGGAGUUCACACCAUGGUGGCUGUUACAUGCUCGAGUUGACUGUUCUUUGGUUAUCACAUAAAGUUGAAAGCUAGGGGACUCUGUUUUGCACAACCCAAGCUUUUUCUGGUUCUAGACCCGGGCAGGAUUCGGUCUGCUAAAAUCUCACAGACUGUUACGGAGACAUAUGAGGUGGUGGACGCGAGCUGUAGACAUAGAUCUAAUACUCCUUGAGUUCAGCUAUUAACCUAUCAUUUGUAAUAUUUGUUUUAGCCAUGUUUAUAUAAAAAAAAUGUAAACAGCAAUUGUGUAGUCCUUGAAUAUUUUUAUGAUAUAUAUAGACCCGUACGCCCCCUCAUAUGUCCGGUACCUGCCCGGGUUACAAGACGACCUCGGAGUCAUUGUGUCGCUCCUACAUCACAGGCACGUAUUACACUAGAAGUGCCUGUGAGUAGUGGAGCAUCACAGCAGGACACAUUCAGCGAUGUGUCCUCUAGACCUGCUCUAUCAGAAGAUAUCUGUAAGUUAUAAAAAAAAUUAUUUCAAUUGCCGCUCCUCGGCCGGUCCUGCCGACGGACGCUCCUCGGCCGGUCCUGCCGACGGACGCUCCUCGGCCGGUCCUGCCGACGGACGCUCCUCGGCCGGUCCUGCCGACGGACGCUCCUCGGCCGGUCCUGCCGACGGACGCUGCUAUACCUGCUCUAUCAAAGGAUAUCUGUAAGUUAUAAAAAAAUUCAUUUCAAUUUCCAAGCAGUGUCAUCAGUUUUUCUUAUAUGCACAAUUGUUCUUAAAAUCGUAAUUUUUAGUGUUACUGCCAAUAUUUUUAUUCUUGCAUAUCAGGUUCUGCCCAGCCUGAGCUUCCCCUGGCCCGGCCUAAGCGUGAGGGUUGUGUUGCACCUGCACAGCAGGUCCUGCCGACGGACGCUCCUCGGCCGGUCCUGCCCUCGGACGGUGCUAUACCUGCUCUAUCAGAUGAUAUCUAAGAUAUUUUGAGAAAUGAAGGUAAACACACAGCAGUAAGUGACCAUAGACUUCAUUUAUAGAAGAAAGAAGAAAUUAAAGAAGAAAGUGGGCUGUUAAAUGAGCAAAUUAUGUUGCUCAACAUUCAUUUAUAGACAUUCAUGUCGAGUCCAGAGCGCACCUCCCCAGGUUUCUUCUGCUGUCUCACAGCUUUCACUAAGCAGCGAGAUAGACAGUCUGGAGCGGAAACUGUUUGUUUUAUCUGUGCGACCAAAAAAUGAAGUUGCAGAGCAGCAGCAAGCUUCCAUGAAGCAAUCCCCUUCCAAAAUACAAAUUAAAUAUAAUUUAAACACCUGAAACUUGAGAUCAUUUCUUUACCACUUUUUAAACUGAGAUCUGGGUUUGUUUUUCAUACUUUGAUUACUCAGUUAGCUGGAUUUCAAUGUUAGUUUUUGGUUCUUUGAUCUUUUUGGUUUUUACAAUCUCAUCCUGUAGUUGUUGUCAGGCAACAGAUUCAAAUGUUAAAACCGGUGUGAUAUGAAGAGCUUUCUGAAUUUAAAGUGUAAAUUAAAAUGAGAAAAAAGUUAAUGAAGAGAGAAAUUUGACUCAGACAAAAUGUCCUCCAUUAUUCUAUAAUAGUAACAGUAAACAGGAUAGAUUACAGAUUACAAGCUUAAAAUACAGGUAAACAAUCCAAGAUGUCAGGAUCUACAGCUGUAAAUUUUACAUAACAUAACAAUAACAUUAACUCGAAAGCAGACAUCAUGAGUUGCAGGGUCUUACCAUGGUUCCCAAAUGGCCACAGACAGACCGCUGUUCUGUAUAACUGUAUAACGGCUGCUGCAAAAACGCCAGUAAAACUGACUUACUAUCAUCUUAAACUGAAUUUAGUUGGCCUGAACGGUGACCCUAACAACUUGCCAGACAACUUGUAGU